GACGAACGCUGGCGGCGUGCUUAACACAUGCAAGUCGAACGGAAAGGCCCUGCUUUUGUGGGGUGCUCGAGUGGCGAACGGGUGAGUAACACGUGAGUAACCUGCCCUUGACUUUGGGAUAACUUCAGGAAACUGGGGCUAAUACCGGAUAGGAGCUCCUGCUGCAUGGUGGGGGUUGGAAAGUUUCGGCGGUUGGGGAUGGAAUCGCGGCUUAUCAGCUUGUUGGUGGGGUAGUGGCUUACCAAGGCUUUGACGGGUAGCCGGCCUGAGAGGGUGACCGGCCACAUUGGGACUGAGAUACGGCCCAGACUCCUACGGGAGGCAGCAGUGGGGAAUAUUGCACAAUGGGCGGAAGCCUGAUGCAGCAACGCCGCGUGCGGGAUGACGGCCUUCGGGUUGUAAACCGCUUUCGCCUGUGACGAAGCGUGAGUGACGGUAAUGGGUAAAGAAGCACCGGCUAACUACGU
rnacentral:rRNA from 1 species